rnacentral:lncRNA from 1 species
AGGCUAUCGUCAUGGCUGUCAUUGGAACUGCUACUGGAGUUGCUAAAGAACUUACUAGUUGAAGCAUUGUUUCCAGAAGGACCAUGCACAUAUUAAUACAUUUGUGUUUUCUUUCAUCAAUCAAUUUUGAAUUCACUUAAAUAUUCUUGGAUUAAAGUCUCACAGGACCUCAGAAUUUAUUGGUUGCCUGCUUAAACAUGGGUCAGCCAUCAUGAGAAAGAGCAGAGGGGAAAGCAGAAUCACAGACGGACAGAAAACUGCUGAUGGGAUGAGAAGUACAAAAAGUAGAAUAUGAUGCAAAUGUGCAUAGAGCAAAUGGGAGUGGAAAAUGAGAAAUUGCACAGAAGAAUCAGAAAUGCAUCUGCAUUCAAGCUCGUGUCUCUGGACCCAUCAGAAGAUCCUUAUCUCCUCAGACUGUUUCUGGCACUAGGAUUUAUCUGUCUUUAUCAGGUAAGGGGGGCUGGGUGAUACUGUAGUAUCUUCCUGCUGAAGUGGAGUCUUGAAGCUGUUUUGGUCUGCACACAAGGAGAUCUGGGUCUUUCUGCAUGGUUUUAAUUUACAUGUUGUUUUGUUUGACAGGUCAGAAGACAAGGGCAGACAGCAAAUAUUUUCCUUUUAGUGGCUUACUGUAUUUCAGAGUAUCAAUAGGGUAAUUCAUUAGUCUUCCAACUUUUCUUUGAACAGCUUAGAAUCUCCUCUAUCAUUCCUCUUCUCUGAGCAAUUGUUCUGAAAUUAUAUUGACUCAUAAACCAAGAGUGAUCCAGAGGUCAAACUUCUGUACUUAUACUCUGUUUGCCCAACUGUAAGUGGAUCAUUCAGGCAGAGAAAUCAAAUGUAUCUAAAAUCUUGGAUGCCUCCUGUUGGCUCCAGCAAUGGGCAUGGACAGCCACACCUGCCCAGUGGCACAGCUAGGUUUGGAUGUGCCAUGGUUGAGGUAUGUAAACCCCAUAGCUAUCACUUCCACAUCAAAUGCACCUAUAAUUACUUUAUAGUACAACAAUAUUAGAGAAC